UGUAUGUGCAGCUAUGAGUUUCUGUCUCCAACUUGAUCGUCAAAUAUUUUUAUUGUUAGUAUUUUUGUUGUUAUUAGAUAAUAAAAUAUAAAAAAAUAAGACGUACGAUUAAAGUUGAACAUAAAAACUCAUGGUUACACUUAAA
rnacentral:pre_miRNA from 1 species